GAUGAUUUAUGAUAGAUUAUGAAUAUUUGAUGUUAGAUUUUCAUCUUUUAUAAAGUGAUUUUGGAGAAAAAUGUUAAUUUUGGACUAAAUUGUGAAAUAUGGAAUUUUAGUGGUUAAAAUGUGAAAUAAAUUGAAAAUAUGGGCUGAUAGUAAUAUAUGGAAAAUUCGGCUAGCUUGGGUUUGUGUUUAAUUUCAUGAAAUUGUGAUUUUAUGUGAUAAGGACUAAAUUGCAAAAAUGUGAAAUUAUGGGGGCAAAAGUGUAAAUGCACUUUAAAGUAAAUUUUGG
rnacentral:lncRNA from 1 species